UACGUAGGUGGCAAGCGUUGUCCGGAUUUACUGGGCGUAAAGGGAGCGUAGGCGGAUACUUAAGUGGGAUGUGAAAUACCUGGGCUUAACUUGGGUGCUGCAUUCCAAACUGGGUGUCUAGAGUGUUGGAGAGGAAAGUGGAAUUCCUAGUGUAGCGGUGAAAUGCGUAGAGAUUAGGAAGAACACCAGUGGCGAAGGCGACUUUCUGGACAAUAACUGACGCUGAGGCUCGAAAGCGUGGGGAGCAAACAGGAUUAGAUACCCUGGUAGUCCACGCCGUAAACGAUGGGUACUAGGUGUAGGGGAUAUCGACUCCCCCUGUGCCGCCGUUAACACAAUAAGUACCCCGCCUGGGGAGUACGGUCGCAAGAUUAAA
rnacentral:rRNA from 1 species